GAAAUUGGGAAUGAAGUUCUCCCAAGCUGAUGCUGAACCGCUGAAAAGCUGAUGACUUCUGCAAC
rnacentral:ncRNA from 1 species